UUAAGUAAUUUAUAUAUAUUUCGCAAUUAAAAAAUGUGUCUAUUGUAGAAGAGUAAAUUAUCACAAACUAUAGCAUAUCAAGUAAUUUAAAGAAAUUGGUCGAGUUGGUAGCGUGCUUGGAUUACCAGUGCAGGGGUCGCGAGUUCGAUUCCCACCAGAAGCCUUAGUCUGUCGCUACUCUGGUAUCACAAUGGACUUAAAAUUGUCUAAGUGAGUCUGUAAAGAUGUGCCACUCUUACCUAACCUACGGUUGGAUCGAGAGAGGAGAAAAGCCUGCAAUUUUUCCCACAUUCGAAUUCGGAGAGGUUUUUUCUUCGAAAUACUAUUGGAUCGAAGAAUAUUUUUACUAUUGGUUUUAGCUGGGCUAAUUGGAAGUUUUGUACCUUAAAUGAAAGCUUGAUGUCUGUGCUUUUUUUGUGAUUCAUUAUUUGGACACCUAAAAUUUGGAAGUUUUUUAAAAAUGG